rnacentral:rRNA from 1 species
UACGGAGGGUGCAAGCGUUAUCCGGAUUCACUGGGUUUAAAGGGUGCGUAGGUGGGUCUGAAAGUCGAGUGGUGAAUCUCCGGCUCAACCCGGAAACUGCCAUUGAUACUACAGGUCUUGAAUUUCUGGAGGAUAGCGGAAUAUGUCAUGUAGCGGUGAAAAUGCUUAGAUAUGACAUAGAACACCAAUUGCGAAGGCAGCUAUCUACAGGAUAUUGACACUGAGGCACGAAAGCGUGGGGAUCAAACAGG